CCUACGGGGUGCAGCAGUGGGGAAUAUUGGACAAUGGGCGAAAGCCUGAUCCAGCCAUGCCGCGUGUGUGAAGAAGGCCUUCGGGUUGUAAAGCACUUUCAGUGGGGAAGAAAGCCUUGGGGCUAAUACCCUCGAGGAAGGACAUCACCCACAGAAGAAGCACCGGCGUAACUCCGUGCCAGCAGCCGCGGUAAUACGGAGGGUGCGAGCGUUAAUCGGAAUUACUGGGCGUAAAGCGCGCGUAGGCGGUCUGAUAAGCCGGUUGUGAAAGCCCCGGGCUCAACCUGGGAACGGCAUCCGGAACUGUCAGGCUAGAGUGCAGGAGAGGAAGGUAGAAUUCCCGGUGUAGCGGUGAAAUGCGUAGAGAUCGGGAGGAAUACCAGUGGCGAAGGCGGCCUUCUGGACUGACACUGACGCUGAGGUGCGAAAGCGUGGGUAGCAAACAGGAUUAGAUACCCUUGUAGUC
rnacentral:rRNA from 1 species